rnacentral:sRNA from 1 species
UAAAGCGUAUUCACUUUGCCUGGCCUAU